GACGAACGCUGGCGGCGUGCUUAACACAUGCAAGUCGAACGGAAAGGCCCUGCUUUUGUGGGGUGCUCGAGUGGCGAACGGGUGAGUAACACGUGAGUAACCUGCCAUUGACUUUGGGAUAACUUCAGGAAACUGGGGCUAAUACCGGAUAGGAGCUCCUGCUGCAUGGUGGGGGUGGGAAAGUUUCGGCGGUUGGGGAUGGACUCGCGGCUUAUCAGCUUGUUGGUGGGGUAGUGGCUUACCAAGGCUUUGACGGGUAGCCGGCCUGGGAGGAUGACCGGCCCCACUGGGAUGGAGAUGCGGCCCGGACUCGUAUCGGAGGCAGCAGUGGGGAAUAUUGUACAAUGGGCGGAAGCCUGAUGCAGCACCGCAGCGCGGGGGAUGACGGCCAUCCGGUUGUAAACCGCUUUCGCCUGUGACGAAGCGUGAGUGACGGUAAUGGGUAAAGAAGCACCGGCUAACUACGUG
rnacentral:rRNA from 1 species